rnacentral:tRNA from 1 species
GGAGAGGUGGCAGAGUGGUCGAAUGCACUCGACUUGAAAUCGAGCAGGUGAUGAGCCUCGCGGGUUCGAAUCCCGCCCUCUCCG